rnacentral:rRNA from 1 species
GAGUAAUGUCUGGGAAACUGCCUGAUGGAGGGGGAUAACUACUGGAAACGGUGGCUAAUACCGCAUAACGUCGCAAGACCAAAGAGGGGGACCUUCGGGCCUCUUGCCAUCAGAUGUGCCCAGAUGGGAUUAGCUAGUUGGUGAGGUAACGGCUCACCAAGGCGACGAUCCCUAGCUGGUCUGAGAGGAUGACCAGCCACACUGGAACUGAGACACGGUCCAGACUCCUACGGGAGGCAGCAGUGGGGAAUAUUGCACAAUGGGCGCAAGCCUGAUGCAGCCAUGCCGCGUGUAUGAAGAAGGCCUUCGGGUUGUAAAGUACUUUCAGCGGGGAGGAAGGUGUUGUGGUUAAUAACCGCAGCAAUUGACGUUACCCGCAGAAGAAGCACCGGCUAACUCCGUGCCAGCAGCCGCGGUAAUACGGAGGGUGCAAGCGUUAAUCGGAAUUACUGGGCGUAAAGCGCACGCAGGCGGUCUGUCAAGUCGGAUGUGAAAUCCCCGGGCUCAACCUGGGAACUGCAUUCGAAACUGGCAGGCUUGAGUCUUGUAGAGGGGGGUAGAAUUCCAGGUGUAGCGGUGAAAUGCGUAGAGAUCUGGAGGAAUACCGGUGGCGAAGGCGGCCCCCUGGACAAAGACUGACGCUCAGGUGCGAAAGCGUGGGGAGCAAACAGGAUUAGAUACCCUGGUAGUCCACGCCGUAAACGAUGUCUACUUGGAGGUUGUGCCCUUGAGGCGUGGCUUCCGGAGCUAACGCGUUAAGUAGACCGCCUGGGGAGUACGGCCGCAAGGUUAAAACUCAAAUGAAUUGACGGGGGCCCGCACAAGCGGUGGAGCAUGUGGUUUAAUUCGAUGCAACGCGAAGAACCUUACCUGGUCUUGACAUCCACAGAAGAAUCCAGAGAUGGAUUUGUGCCUUCGGGAACUGUGAGACAGGUGCUGCAUGGCUGUCGUCAGCUCGUGUUGUGAAAUGUUGGGUUAAGUCCCGCAACGAGCGCAAC